GUGGCAUCUUGGACGCGCGCAUCGUGAAAAAGGUCUGAUCAUUGGGUAUGGUUGAGCAGAGAUGGGCAAUCUACAAUGAGAGCAAACAAUGGGAGCAUACUCAGUCUACUUGAGAGCUUGAAGAGCUUUGGGUAUGCGCAGCAGGUUAUGGCUGCAGGUAUAUUUAGUCCUGUUCAGCAUUCUUGGUUACGGACAAGAAAGCUUUCUACUCUGAAGUAAAGAGUUCGUAGGUGGUAAACGUAAGUUUUCUUCAAAGAGCCCUAGUUGUCUAAUAUAACUAAACAUAGAGACAGAUAUUUGAGACUACCCACUACAGUAUAUGUGAAACUAUAUCUUUGUAGCUAUAUCUUUUUAUACAGUCGGUAGUUCAAACUAUGGACAGUUCAAACUCGCGAUACCGAACAUUAUCACUGAUAUCUGAUAUUGAGAUUACGGGAUAUUAUCAUUGUUUUACUCUAACUAUAUAUGCUAUUAGUAUAUAACAAGAGACCAUCAUGGUCUCAUUUUAUUUGACAAUUUAAACUCUUGAAUGUUCUUCGAAACUACAUGCCAUUUUCACCCCUUGGUUUAGACACCAUUUAUUUCUAUUCGUUAUUUCGUUUAAAGGAAAAUGUUGUAGUCACGCGCUCUUUGAGCAUGCGCAGUUAAGUUUUAAAAGUUGCUUAGAGUUUUUGCUUAAAGUUACCUCAUUGUGACUUUAUUGAUUAUUUUGUAAAUACGCAGGGACGUGUAAUCUUGAUGUACUAAAACCAUACCAUCUUUGUCUCCAUAAAUAACCACGUAUCACAGGCGUAUCUAGACGUAAUUUGAGCUUGAGUACCCCUUUCUAGUGUGAAACCUCUAAACUUUUAAAGCCUAACACGGCGUGCUCCAGACUUAUCGGACUUACCUCAAACUGCUUAAAUGAUAAAAGGUCAGAGCACAAGGAGUAUAAAGGCACUCCCUGAAAUCACCCGGCUCACUUGAGGGCUAUCUCUCAGACGAGGACGCGUGCUCCAAGUUAGCUGCAUUUUCAAGAUGGAAGGUGAAAUUGAGGACGAAUCUAUCGAUGCAUUUAGCAAGGGGUUUAUCACAAACAAGAACUUUGUCACGGACUACUUACAUUACCUGAAAGACCUUGAGUUUAAAAAGAAAAAGAGGCAAGGGUGACAGCUAACGAAAAAGAGAAGAAGCGAGAUCUCUCGCUCUGGAGAUUUAAAGAAAGAGAAAGUGUCUGUCCUAGAUCUCUAUAUUAGGCACCACAAGCUUAAAUGCCCGCGAAGUAGUAGUAGUAGUAGUAAGUAGUAAUGCUUUAUUUAUACACGGUAAACUCUCAGUAUAAUAGUUAUCUUAUAAUAUCUAAUUAUUAUCUUAUUUAUAAUAUCUAAUCUAAGCUAUAAAAAAAUAUAUACUAAAUAGUUAUUAAAAUACUGCUUCUCAGAGUGCUGGUGAGGGGCUUUGGAAUAGCUAAUUUGCCCUCGCUGUCUCUCAACGUAUACCUGGUAACGCUAUUACGAUCCAUAAAAAGAGAUGACAAAUAGUCCGGUGCUAGACCAUGCAGUGAUUUAUGGACCAUAAUAGCUUUUUGAAACUUCCUUUGGCUCUCGAGUCUUUUCCAGCCUAGCUGAUGAAUAAGAGGGUCGGCACUAGUGUAAUAGCUAGAAAAAGUCAUAACCCUUGCCGCUCGGUUUUGUAACUUUUAAAGUUUAUAGGCUAGGGAAAUGUUACAAUUGUCCCAGGCGAGAGAGCAAUAAUCAAAAUGUGGUUGGACUUUAGAAUUGUAAAUGUACCGCAAUGUUGUAGCUGGGACAAAUUGUCUAAUACGCUUCAGGGCUCCGAUGCCGUAUGCGAUCUUUUUGGUUAAUUUGUGUAUAUGCUCACCCCAAGAAAGAUUUUCAUCAAUAAGCACCCCAAGAGAUUUGGUAUGGGGUACUUGCUUUACGGGUACCCCUUCGAUUGCCAAAGAGGUGCUGAUUCGAAGGUGGAAAGACGUUGUCUGGAGCCAAUAAGCAUGAACUCCGUCUUAGAUUGGUUCAGGGUGAGCAUAUUAUCGACAAGCCACUCACCAACAUUCGCAAGGUCUUGAUUUAAAUAAAGAUUUAUGUCUUCAA